rnacentral:rRNA from 1 species
GCGGGCGUAGCAAUACGUCAGCGGCAGACGGGUGAGUAACGCGUGGGAACGUACCUUUUGGUUCGGAACAACACAGGGAAACUUGUGCUAAUACCGGAUAAGCCCUUACGGGGAAAGAUUUAUCGCCGAAAGAUCGGCCCGCGUCUGAUUAGCUAGUUGGUAGGGUAACGGCCUACCAAGGCGACGAUCAGUAGCUGGUCUGAGAGGAUGAUCAGCCACAUUGGGACUGAGACACGGCCCAAACUCCUACGGGAGGCAGCAGUGGGGAAUAUUGGACAAUGGGGGCAACCCUGAUCCAGCCAUGCCGCGUGAGUGAUGAAGGCCCUAGGGUUGUAAAGCUCUUUUGUGCGGGAAGAUAAUGACGGUACCGCAAGAAUAAGCCCCGGCUAACUUCGUGCCAGCAGCCGCGGUAAUACGAAGGGGGCUAGCGUUGCUCGGAAUCACUGGGCGUAAAGGGUGCGUAGGCGGGUCUUUAAGUCAGGGGUGAAAUCCUGGAGCUCAACUCCAGAACUGCCUUUGAUACUGAAGAUCUUGAGUUCGGGAGAGGUGAGUGGAACUGCGAGUGUAGAGGUGAAAUUCGUAGAUAUUCGCAAGAACACCAGUGGCGAAGGCGGCU